GUGUGAUGAGAAAGUUAGCAGUGGUCCAGUGGGUCAGUGGGGAGGAUGCUGGGAUGUAUAGCGAGGUAAAAACCGAUGCCAUACGUAAAUAUGAUGACACCAAGAUGGAUGAUGAUGGAUACCCACAUACUGACUAUUCAGCUGCAGUGGAGUGGAAGAAAGGGAAAAAGUCAAAACAUGGUUGGCCAGUGUACAUGGCCUCUGUCAAGUUUGUGAGCAACAAUCGAUUUCAUACUAAUAAUAAAAUUAAGGAAUUUCUGGGGUUGGAGUCUGAUGAAAGUAGCAAAGCACUGCCUAAGAAAAGAGCCUCAGUCCCACCAUCAAGAUAUACAGAUUCAGAUGAAACUGAUGUUGAGAAUACACCGACCCAAAGGAAAAAGACAGUGAUCCCCAAACCACAGAGAAAUGUUGCCCAAAUGAUUGUUGAUGAGUAUAAAGCCACAACCUUGACAGAGACUCAGAAGAAGCUGAAGGAAAUGGAGGAGGAAAACAAAAAAUUGAGAAACGACAACGAAAAAUUAAGAAGAAUGCUUAUUAGAGAGCUACCAAAUCUGAUUAAUGAAGUGAAGAUGGCUCUGAAGUCUCAGUGUUCAUCAACAACAUCAGUCAGCUCUGACUUGGAAAGUAGACAGGGUUUGCCACAGAGUAUUGCACAGCCCUCCCCACAGCCCUCUCCCACAGCCCUCCACCCACUGAAAGCAGUAUCCACAGAACAGGUGGAAAUUUGUCCUGGAUCAAAUGUAUUUGUUAACAGACUGGCAUGGGCUGUGGCCCAGAAUGCGAACUCCACCUCCUGUUUUGUAAGAUCACUCCUGACAGCAGUGUUCCCAAUUGAUGUGCUUCUGGUGAGCAAUCUUCGAGGAACAUCCAGGGAUUCUGGGACACAACGUCAGGCUCUUGACAAAAUGAAAGUGGAUGCUAUCUACAGAGCAACACUGCAAAAGUGGCCUCAUGUGGUGCCCUCCAGCAUUGGUGCAGCCAUCAAUGCCAAACUUACUGAAAUUAGAGCAAAGAAAAAAACACAAAAACAUCCGGAAACCUUAAUGCUUUUUGAUGAUUGA
rnacentral:lncRNA from 1 species